rnacentral:rRNA from 1 species
UACAGAGGUCUCAAGCGUUGUUCGGAUUCAUUGGGCGUAAAGGGUGCGUAGGUGGCGCGCUAAGUCAGGUGUGAAAUGCCGGGGCUCAACCCCGGGACUGCGUCCGAUACUUCCGAGCUGGAGGUAGGUAGGGGAGAUCGGAAUUCCUGGUGUAGCGGUGAAAUGCGCAGAUAUCAGGAGGAACACCGGUGGCGAAGGCGGAUCUCUGGGCCUUACCUGACGCUGAGGCGCGAAAGCUAGGGGAGCGAACAGG